UACGUAGGGUGCAAGCGUUGUCCGGAAUUAUUGGGCGUAAAGAGCUUGUAGGCGGUUUGUCGCGUCUGUUGUGAAAUUUCGGGGCUCAACCCCGAACUUGCAGUGGGUACGGGCAGACUAGAGUGUGGUAGGGGAGACUGGAAUUCCUGGUGUAGCGGUGAAAUGCGCAGAUAUCAGGAGGAACACCGAUGGCGAAGGCAGGUCUCUGGGACAUAACUGACGCUGAGAAGCGAAAGCAUGGGGAGCGAACAGG
rnacentral:rRNA from 1 species